GAAAGCCGGAUGCGGGAAAUCCGCACGUCCGGUUUGAUGGGCGGGGUGUGGAGACGGAGCAUGGCAGGCGGAUAUUGCGCCACAUACGGGGAAACCCCGACACGGAAGUAAGCCGAAGCCUAAACCACCGCGC
rnacentral:ncRNA from 1 species